rnacentral:rRNA from 1 species
CUAACACAUGCAAGUCGAACGAUUGAACCCUUCUUGGUGGAGUAUUGGCCAACGGAUGAGUGACACGUGGGCAAUCUGCCGUGCGGUCUGGGACAAGCCCUGGAAACGGGGUCUAAUACCGGAUAUUAACCAUCUUGGGCAUCCUUGAGGGUGCAUCGCUCCUGCGGUGCUCGAAGAACCCUCGGCCUAACUACUUGUUGGGGAGGUAAUGGGUCACCAAGGGGACCACUGGUAGCCUGCCUGAAAAGGAGACCGGCCACACUGGGACUGAGACACGGCCCCAACUCCUACGGGAGGGAGCAGUGGGGAAUAUUGGACAAUGGGCGAAAGCCUGAUGCCACCCCUCCCCGUGGGGGAAGAAAGGCUUCCGGAUGGAAACCUCUUUCAACUUGGAAGAAACGAAAGUGACUGUACCUGUUGAAGAUUUGCCGGCUAACUACGUGCCAGCACCCGCUGUAUUACGUACGGCGCGAGCGUUGUCCGGAAUUAUUGGGCGUAAAAACCUCGUAAGCGGCUUGUCACGUCGGUUGUGAAAGCCAGGGGCUUAACCCCGGGUCUGCAGUCGAUACCGGCAGGCUAGAGUUCGGUAGGACAGAUCUGAAUUCCUGGUGAAGCGGUGAAAAGCGCAGAUAUCAGGAGAUACACGAGUGAAGAAGGGGGAUCUAUGGGCCGAUACUGACGCUGAGGAGCGAAAGCGUGGGGAGCGAACGGGAUUAGAUACCAUGGUAGUCCACGCUGUUACCGGUGGGCACUAAGUGUGGGUAACAUUCCACGUUGUCCGGAUCGCAGUUAACGCAUUAAGUGGAUAACUUGGGGAGUACGGGAGCAAGGCUAAAACUCAAAGGAAUUGAAUGGGGGGCCGCACAAGCGCCCGAGCAUGGGGGUUAAUUGGACGCUACGAGAAGAACCUUAGCACGGCUUGACAUACACCGGAAACGUCUGGAGACAGGCGCCCCCUUGUGGUCUUUGUACAGUUGGUGCAUGGCUGUCGUCAGCUGUUGUCAUGAGAUGUUGGGUUAAUUUUGGCAAAGAGCGCAACCCUUGUCAACCCUGCCAGCAGGCCCCAGUGGUGCUGGGUACUCACGGGAGACCGCCGGGGUCAACUCGGAGGAAGGUGGGGGGGACGUCAAGUCAUCAUGCCCCUUAUGUCUUGGCAGGCACACACGCUACAAUCAAUGGUACAAUGAAAGGGUAUACAAGGAGGUGGAGGGAAUUUCUAAAAUCCGGUCUCAGUUAGGACGGGGGUCAGCAACUCGAUCCCAUGAAGUAAGUGUGGAUAGUAAGUACUGAUGAACAUGAAUGCGGCGAAGAAGUUGCCGGCCGUCGUACACCCCGCCCGCCAUCUCACCAAAGUAGGUAACACCUCGAAGCCGGUGGCCCAACCCCGCAAGGAGAAGCUACCAACGGUG